rnacentral:rRNA from 1 species
GCACAAGCGGUGGAGCAUGUGGUUUAAUUCGACGCAACGCGAAGAACCUUACCUGGGCUCGAAAUGUAGUGGACCGGGGUAGAAAUAUCCCUUCCUAGCAAUAGGCUGCUAUAUAGGUGCUGCAUGGCUGUCGUCAGCUCGUGUCGUGAGAUGUUGGGUUAAGUCCCGCAACGAGCGCAACCCUUAUUACCAGUUGCUACCAUUUAGUUGAGCACUCUGGUGAGACCGCCUCGGAUAACGGGGAGGAAGGCGAGGAUGACGUCAAGUCCUCAUGGCCUUUAUGUCCAGGGCUACACACGUGCUACAAUGGCCGGUACAAACCGCUGCAAACCCGCGAGGGGGAGCUAAUCGGAAAAAGCCGGCCUCAGUUCGGAUUGGAGUCUGCAACUCGACUCCAUGAAGCUGGAAUCGCUAGUAAUCGUGGAUCAGCAUGCCACGGUGAAUACGUUCCCGGGC